rnacentral:lncRNA from 1 species
UGUCCUGUGUGGAGGGAAACUGCAGCCUGAUGAGGAUGAUAAAGAUGAUGAUGCUUUCACACCUCAUUCCCUCAGUCCUUCAAACAGAGACAUGGUCACUGUGUGUAAUGGACAGUACGGUGUUACUUUAACCUACAGUUUUUAGCUCCUUAAUGCACCACAGUGCUGUGUUUACUGUCUCUUUUUCUGCCGUGAAAUGUGUGUGUGUCUAUCUGAUGGUCCUUAAAUGCAUCAUGGUGCUGUGUUUACCAUCUCUUAUCUCUGCAGUAAAGCGUGUGCCUCUCUGGUGGUCCUUGAAUGCAUCAUGGUGCUGUGUUCAAAUCUGCUGUUUACUCCCUAGCCCUGCUUGCCUGGCCUCUCUGACCAUCCUUACACCUGAACACACAUCUUAAAGGAACAGACUAAAGGUGAGUGUCUAACUGCUUUGAUCAGGCGUCACAACUGAUCCUGUAUAAAUAUACAGCUGUCUCUGACCUCUUACUUGAUUCGCUAAUCUUUGCUUUACAUAAGAAAACAUGUUGUGUAUAAUCUUGGCACCUCAGGGAUUUGUACAUGUGUUUUAACUGAAAGUCGAACCUAUCCAUAGGAGACAGGAAUACCCACUCAAGUCGUGGCCUUUGAUAGUGAACCAAAGGCAAGUAUCACACCACUAUUCACAGGAGAAAAUCAAGUAUUUCUUUUCACGUAAUUUGACGUCACCCAAACUAACUAUUUUGUUUGCAUCUGAAUGUUUUUUUUUUUGUUUUUUUUUUGUCUACUCCUUCUCUCCCUUCUCUUGUAGGUCUUCAGGAAGCACAUGUCCACACCUCCUUAUAUGGUGUUCACUGUGUAUUAAUGGGCAGAGAUUUAUGCUGAUAAGCAGGACCACGUUAUCACUUUAUGAUUGAAUGGCACAUAUAAACUUUCAUUAAUUUACAAAUUUGUCUGUGAUCGAACCAGGGCCUCAGCAGGGUUAUUGAAUCCAGAACUGUUUUUUUUUUUUAAACUAGUGAUAUAUGUGUGUAAAUCUACAAAUACAUUUCCAAACAUUUUGACACACAGGGUUUUAUUAACACACUCUUUCCUCUAUCACACACACUGUGAUUUACUUUCACACUGACCUGUAUUCAUGUACUGUUUUCAUUUAGACACACCACACUUGAUUUAAAUAUUUGUAUUUAAUUAUCCAGGGUUCUAAAGGUGUGUGGAUGUUCCGAGGGUACAACAGGGUUGUACAGGUAUGUAAAUGUUCUUAAGGUGUCAGUGUUCUAAAGGUGUGUCAGUGUUCUAGAGGUGUGGAAAUGUUCUAAAAGUGUCAGUUUUCCAAGGAUGUGACAGUGUUCUGAAGGUGUGUCUGUGUUCAAAAGAUGUUAGUGUUCUAAAAGUGUGUCAGUGUUCUAGAGGUGUGUUAAUGUUCUGAAGGUGUCAGUGUUCAAAAAGUUUGUCAGUGUUCUAAAGGUGUGUGAAUGUUCUAAAGGUGUCAGUGUUCCAGGGGUGUGACAGUGUUCUAAAAGUGUGUCAGUGUUCUAGAGGUGUGUCAGUGUUCUAAAGGUGUCAGUGUUCUAAAAGUGUGUCAGUGUUCUAGAUGUGUGUAAAUGUUCUAAAGUUGUCAGUGUUCAAAAAGUUUGUCAGUGUUCUAGAGGUGUGUAAAUGUUACAAAGGUGUACAAAUGUUCAAAAGGUGUGUGAACAUACUGUAGGUGUAGCAGUGUCAUUUCUAUAAAGGUGUGUAAAUGUUCUAAAGGUUUCAGCAUUCUCAAGGUGUUUGAAUGUUCCAUAGGUGUGUUACUGUUCUACAGGUGUCUGAAUGUUCUAAAGGUGUCAAUGUUCUAAAGUUGUGUAAAUAUUCUUAAGGUUCGUGAAUGUUCUAAAGGUACAUUACAGUACUGUACAGUAAAAUACACUGCAUAAUGAUUUCAUGCAACACGAAAUGAAACUACACAAUAUUUUUUUAUAUGAUACAAUAUGACACUACAUUUAGAUAAAACUAAGUAUAUUAUUGUCCAACUAAGACAUGAUCAAAUACAUAAUGCCGUGGUGUGAUAUGAUUCAAAAUUAUUUAAUAUGUUAUGAUAUGAUACAAUAAGAUAAAAUAUAGUCUAUGACGGUUUACUGUACAACAUAAUACAUCAUGAUAUAAUAUAUCAUGUGAAUAUGGUUUAUCAAAAUAAAAUGAUCUGAUGCAAUACCACACAAGAUGC